AAACCAUGGUACAGACACUUGUACAAUAUCAAUUUGAAGCGCUCCCAAGCCUCAUAUAAUGAAUCUCUUUCAAAUUGUCAAAAACUCGUAAUGCCCAUCCAAAGUUU
rfam:Gossypium raimondii chromosome 8, whole genome shotgun sequence.